UGGCGACAUCAGCUGAGAUUUGCAGUGGAUUUACAUGCAUUAACCAGGCAAUCUUUAGAGAAAAUAGGGAUAAAAUGUGAGACAAGGCAUUUUUUACCCCUUUUACGAGAAUAUGAGGACAACAUUUCGGAAAAUAAUGGAAAACUUAGACGAUCUGCACCAGCUCCGUAGAUCCAGACCAGCUGGCAAGAGUUUCAGGCUUAAAGAAUGAAUAAAUAAAAAAUGCAUCAAUUUCUCCAUAGGCCAGGGCCUAGCCAUUACCAACAAAAUUGGACCAAUGGAUCCAUUCAAGCAGCAAGUCAAGCAGUUAAUCCAUCAUUAAAGGAAAAUGAAUUCAUUUUAUCUACAUGAACAUGAAGUGAUGGAAAUAAUUUGCACCUGUCCAGUUUUCCUACAGUCUGUCUUUGGAUUUGAAGAAAAUGCUUAUUAAAUAAAUUUUCUAGAUAAAUAAUAA